GAUGAACGCUGGCGGCGUGCCUAAUACAUGCAAGUCGAGCGAACAGAUGAGGAGCUUGCUCCUCUGACGUUAGCGGCGGACGGGUGAGUAACACGUGGAUAACCUACCUAUAAGACUGGGAUAACCUCGGGAAACCGGAUCUAAUACCGGAUAAUAUAUUGAACCGCAUGGUUCAAUAGUGAAAGACGGUUUUGCUGUCACUUAUAGAUGGAUCCGCGCCGCAUUAGCUAGUUGGUAAGGUAACGGCUUACCAAGGCAACGAGGCGUAGCCGACCUGAGAGAGGGAUCGGCCACACUGGAACUGAGCCACGGUCCAGACUCCUACGGGAGGCAGCAGUAGGGAAUCUUCCGCAAUGGGCGAAAGCCUGACGGAGCAACGCCGCGUGAGUGAUGAAGGUCUUCGGAUCGUAAAACUCUGUUAUUAGGGAAGAACAAAUGUGUAAGUAACUAUGCACGUCUUGACGGUACCGAAUCAGAAAGCCACGGCUAACUACGUG
rnacentral:rRNA from 1 species